GUGAAAUCCUGUCUGAAAUUGGGGGGACCACCCUCCAAGCCUAAGUACUCGUGCAUGACCGAUAGCGAACUAGUACCGUGAGGGAAAGGUGAAAAGCACCCCGACAAGGGGAGUGAAAGAGUACCUGAAACCGAUUGCCUACAAACAGUGGGAGCCCGCAAGGGUGACCACGUACCUUUUGUAUAAUGGGUCAGCGACUUAGUGUGACGAGCAAGCUUAAACCGGUAGGUGUAGGCGCAGCGAAAGCGAGUCUGAACAGGGCGUUCAGUUCGUCGCAUUAGACCCGAAACCGAGUGAUCUAGCCAUGAGCAGGCUGAAG
rnacentral:rRNA from 1 species